GUGGGGAAUAUUGGACAAUGGGCGCAAGCCUGAUCCAGCCAUGCCGCGUGAGUGAUGAAGGCCUUAGGGUUGUAAAGCUCUUUCAGUAGGGAAGAUAAUGACGGUACCUACAGAAGAAGCCCCGGCUAACUUCGUGCCAGCAGCCGCGGUAAUACGAAGGGGGCUAGCGUUGUUCGGAUUUACUGGGCGUAAAGCGCACGUAGGCGGAUUGGUCAGUUAGAGGUGAAAUCCCGAAGCUCAACUUCGGAACUGCCUUUAAUACUGCCAGUCUCGAGUCCGGAAGAGGUGAGUGGAACUCCUAGUGUAGAGGUGGAAUUCGUAGAUAUUAGGAAGAACACCCGUGGCGAAGGCGGCUCACUGGUCCGGUACUGACGCUGAGGUGCGAAAGCGUGGGGAGCAAACAGGAUUAGAUACCCGAGUAGUCC
rnacentral:rRNA from 1 species